UCGCAUAUGUGUAAGGAAAACUGAUCUUCCAGUUAUUUUAUGUAUUUUGUUAUAACGCAAUACAGCAAGGCAGAGUGUGGUAAGCAGUAGAGAUCGACAACACGGAGGAUGGAUAUAAGGACGGAGCCAUGAAGCCGACUCCACAGAAUGGGAGUCACAUUUGUGUCAAUCAGAAUCUUCAGGAACGUUCUGAUGUCCGUGAUGAGGACAGAGAUGCAACUGUGUCUGCAUCCAGGACCUACUGCCAGUCAUCCAGAGAAGCAGCUAAGAUUUAUUACUAGAGAUGUCACAAUUCCUUGAACGAUUAAAGUACUGUGAUUUAUUAAAAUCCAUCAAAGCAAAUUAUCUGCCUCAGAGUUUGUUGAAUUAUGUUUUACUAUUUAUUACC